UACAGAGGGGGCAAGCGUUAUUCGGAAUUAUUGGGCGUAAAGGGCGCGUAGGCGGCUUUGCAAGUGACGGGUGAAAUCCCUCGGCUUAACCGAGGAACUGCCUGUCAAACUGCAUGGCUUGAGACCGGGAGAGGUGAGUGGAAUUCCCAGUGUAGCGGUGAAAUGCGUAGAUAUUGGGAGGAACACCAGUGGCGAAGGCGGCUCACUGGACCGGUACUGACGCUGAUGCGCGAAAGCGUGGGAAGCAAACAGG
rnacentral:rRNA from 1 species